rnacentral:rRNA from 1 species
UACGUAGGGUGCGAGCGUUGUCCGGAAUUAUUGGGCGUAAAGAGCUCGUAGGCGGCUUGUCGCGUCGGAUGUGAAAGCCCGGGGCUUAACUCCGGGUCUGCAUUCGAUACGGGCUGGCUGGAGUUCGGUAGGGGAGACUGGAAUUCCUGGUGUAGCAGUGAAAUGCGUAGAGAUCAUGAGGAAGACCAGUGGCGAAGGCGGGUCUCUGGACAGUUCCUGACACUGAGACACGAAGGCCAGGGGAGCAAACGGG